AGUCGAAAAACAAGCCGGCCGGGGCCCGGAUACUAGGAGAACGAGUCAUAGGAUAAUGUGGUUCCCUUUGCUAUCUAUUGCGUUCCACACGGCACGAGAGGGAGGUUACAAAUGGGAUUUUUGAUCUGAUCCUUCUGGACUG
ensembl:ncRNA ZK816.7 ncRNA